AAUAAUAAUCGGUACACAACAACAACGACGCUGCUCAAGUGUGCUUCGUCGUACUAUACGUCAUCAUUAGUAAUAAAGUGCGCCGCCCCUACUUCUCACCGCUCGCCGACGACAAACAGACAAUUGAAAUGAGACCGUCACAGCGAGAGCUAUCAGGACGUUUUUAAAAUUUUAUUUAUGGAGCAGGCGCGAAAUAGAAAUCAAGCCGCGAAGAAGCAGAAGACGACAUGUGUCUAAUGCGCGCGAACCACGGAACAAGACAAACACCAAUCAAUACACCGCAACAAAAGCACAAAGAAACAGCUUUAGCGUCCUCGAAAGGACACGCCGGCAGUAAGGGCGAUUUACAAGAAAGUUGUGGAAUAUAGACUAACGCUGCCCGAUUCAAGUCAUUGGCUACUCCCGCCGGAGUGGUCAGUGAGCCUGUGGUGUGCUAAGACAUAGUAAUUUGCAGUACGUAUGCGCAAUUGGUGAUAGUGGGUUCAAGUCACGGCUCAUGCAACAACUGCGGGUGCGAUGUGCGUUCAUCGCUGACGCGUUAUGUUAAUCGACUUGUCCAGCAGCAGCAUGAGACGAUGUAUUAAGCUUUCUUCAACUUUUGUUUUAUAAAUAAUAACAAUCAUUGUUGAAUUGUUGAAACAAGAAAAUGUGUUUUUUCUUAAUGUAGAUAUAUUAUAAUAUAACGUUUUUUUUCUGCAUGCUGCAGGACAGGAAGAAGCAG
rnacentral:lncRNA from 1 species